UACGUAGGGUGCAAGCGUUGUCCGGAAUUAUUGGGCGUAAAGGGUGUGUAGGUUGUCUUGUUAGUCCACUGUGAAAUUCUUCGGCUUAACCGGGGGUCCGCAGUGGAAACGGCAGGACUAGAGGAUGCGAGAGGUGUGCGGAACUCAUGGUGUAGGGGUGAAAUCCGUUGAUAUCAUGGGGAACACCAAAAGCGAAGGCAGCACACUGGCGCACUCCUGACACUGAAACACGAAAGCGUGGGUAGCGAAUGGG
rnacentral:rRNA from 1 species